rnacentral:rRNA from 1 species
AUUGAACGCUGGCGGCAGGCUUAACACAUGCAAGUCGAGCGGGGUGAUGGUGCUUGCACUAUCACUUAGCGGCGGACGGGUGAGUAAUGCUUAGGAAGCAGCCUAUUAGUGGGGGACAACAUCUCGCAAGGGAUGCUAAUACCGCAUACGUCCUACGGGAGAGAGCAGGGGAUCACUUGUGACCUUGCGCUAAUAGAUGAGCCUAAGUCGGAUUAGCUAGUUGGUGGGGUAAAGGCCUACCAAGGAGACGAUCUGUAGCGGGUCUGAGAGGAUGAUCCGCCACACUGGGACUGAGACACGGCCCAGACUCCUACGGGAGGCAGCAGUGGGGAAUAUUGGACAAUGGGGGGAACCCUGAUCCAGCCAUGCCGCGUGUGUGAAGAAGGCCUUAUGGUUGUAAAGCACUUUAAGCGAGGAGGAGGCUUACCUAGUUAAUACCUGGGAUAAGUGGACGUUACUCGCAGAAUAAGCACCGGCUAACUCUGUGCCAGCAGCCGCAGUAA